CUCAAUUUGCUUUAGUUAUGCAUUGUCAGUUGUACAGUACACGUCAUCUGAUCCCAAGUAGCAUUAUGCAUUGACAACUUGUACAAAAUGCAAAGUUAUGGGGUUUGUAUACGUGUUUUAAUGUCCUGUUGACUAUAUGUUUUGUAGCUGUUCACAUGAAUUUAAUGUUCGGCGAUUAUAAUUAUAGAUACAUAUAAAUUAAUUUUGGAAGGCCAAAGUGAAUAGUAAAAUGAGCUUUGGUGGUUGAGAUAUUGACCACAAUAAUUUGUUAUAUGAGCAGUUUUGGUCCCUUAAAUUAUGGUUUGGCUUCUGAUGGUAGGGUUGGAACUGUGAAGCCGAUACACAUGCUUCCUUCUAUUUCCCACCGCCUUCAUGGAUACGUGUCCUUGUAGAAAAUGAUGGAGGCUCCACGUUUCUUCCACUGAUUAAUUCUCAAUGUUCUCGAUCUUCUAUACCUCAAAUCACACCCCCACUUCACCUUUCUUUCUUCUGAAUGAAAUCGAGACACAUACCUUGUUUUACUCCCUCUCAUGAUCGACUACGUCGAUUGAUGUUUAUUUUGUUCCAAUUUUUUUGGGGUUGAUUUCUUUUGCUUCAUCUCUCAUUUUUCUCUAUUUCUCCGUUUGUUCAUCUUUUGUGUUUGAUUUUGCCCUUUCCCUAAGAUAUAACAAUCGUUUGAGUUCUAGGGAUGGAUUCGAAACGAAAUAGAAAGCAAACGAUUAUCCUAUGUUGCUGUGUUAACAGAAACAAAAAAAAGGGAAAGUUAGCCGCCGAUGCAGAAAGAAGCAACCCCGUGCUGUAUCGAUACUGUUCAACCCUAAUUUCUUCAAGUCUUCAUUCUACGACAUAUUUCUGAGAGAUAUUUACUGAAGAGUAACCAGCUGAGAACAACCAAGUCGGAACUACACUCUCGGAGUUUAGUUUAUUAUUUAUGCUUAGAACAUAAAUUACUUGUAAUGUAAAACAAUAUUUGUUUUCGAACAAUGUAUGUUUUAAUUUA